ensembl:lncRNA
GAGGGCUUUCUCUAGUCGUGGCAAGUAGGGACUGCAGGGUAAGGGAGUCAGAGAAGGUGAGGUUCGGAAAAAGAACAAGAGCGGCACUUUACAGGAACAGAUCACUUUUAAUGAGCAUACAGUUUCAGUCUGAAGACUGAAAAUAUUUUCAGACAUCAUUCUGUGUUGGAUCUGGAUUGGAAGAAUGAACCAAGACUUUGAAUCUUACUUCCUCCAUUUUGAUACAGGCCUCCUCAGAGUUUGCCGGUCAAGAGGCUAAGGGGUAGGACUAUAGUGAUGAUUGCUAAGGGAAGUGGACCUUAUUGAUCUUUCAGAAGUCACAUCUUUAAAAACUACUGGUGCUGAGGAGAGGAAACCGCAUCCUCAUCUGGCAGAGCUCCCAGAGGAUGUGAUCCUCUUGCCUUUUUGCUUUUGUUCUGCAGAAAGCCGCCUUUUUAAGGUACCCAUUAGGCUUUCACUCUUUGAUCUAUUUUGUUCUACCUUUUUCAUCUUCCCUGUUGCUAUCCCAGCUGGCCAUGUCUUUACCAUAGCAGCUACCAAAUAAGGAAUCAUGUUUUCCAAACUCACUGGCUAGUGAUGGUUGCUGUGCUACCAUGAAAUCAGUUUCAUCCUUUUAUUCAGGUUCAACGAUUUCUGGAAAGUUUUAAAACAAAGUUUCUUCGUUAUGACUGGUUAGCUAAUCCGGGAGGUGGAGGCCAAUCUCUCUCUGGAACAGUAUCCACAAACAUCUGAUGAACCUGCGGUGGUACAUCUGUGUAUUCUUACAGCUUCAUUGAACCGUUUGGCGGCGGUGGCCAGAGCGUGUCUCAGGCUCCCUCACUGAUUGCUGGCGCAACUGCUGCGAAAUAUGUAUUUGUUUCAAGCCGCUAAAUUGGUGGUAAUUUGCAAGACAGUAACAGAAAACUAAUACACCAUUAGCGGUGUUAUUAGGGUGGCAAAGUUUGGGAUUGCGGUGGAAGAAGCAUCUGGUUUGUUUUAGAUGAUUCUGAAUUUUGAAUUGCUACCCAUAAAAGGGAGAAAACAUAACAAAACACUAAACAGAAAUCGGUGUGAAAGAGAACACACAAAAGCACCCCCUUCAACGCCUAGAUCAGGCCUUCUUGGUCACCCUUCUCCAGCCUGAAGUGACUGUUCCCUCCUCAGAUAUUUACAGACACUGAUGUAUUUUAUCACCUUUAUAAUGCUCUUCUUUUUUAUGCUCUAGAGGCUGUCUGUGUCUAACUAACUGGGUUUCAAUUUCCUUGAGGGCAAAGAUCUUCUCUUGUUGAUUUUUCCAUCUCCCACAGUGCCUUGCACAGACUCUAGUAAAUGUUACUUGAUUGGCCAAAGAAGAUGGUUUUAUCUGAUAAGUCCUUCAAAC